rnacentral:lncRNA from 1 species
AUUCAUGGCAGCUGAGGGUUCAAUAUUCGAGAUCCAAUCUCGAUCAGACCUUCGCACCCACCCAAAGAUAUGAAUGGUAAACAAUGCAGCGCUUGGGCGGCUUUGAUUUAUAAGUACAUUCGUAAUUUUAAUUUUUAUUUAUUAGCAACGAACUGACUUUGCAACACACCACAGUUGACGAAGGAGAACACACAAUGAGAUGUUACUCAGGGCUUCAAGUCCCUGCAUACGUGAAGAAUGAGCUUCUCACUUAAUAUUCAUGGCCCCGCGGUUGCCCCCACAUGCAGGUUACAAAAUUUCCGGUCGCCCCAGGCCUCCCUCGCCGGACCUUCACUAUGACCGCGCAGCACAUCCGCCGCCAGAAGCAACGCAUCGAC